rnacentral:rRNA from 1 species
AUUGAACGCUGGCGGCGUGCCUAACACAUGCAAGUCGAGCGGUAACAGGUGUAGCAAUACAUGCUGACGAGCGGCGAACGGGUGAGUAAUGCUUCGGAAUCUACCCAAUGGUGGGGAAUAACCAGCCGAAAGGUUGGCUAAUACCGCAUACGUCCCACGGGAGAAAGCAGGGGAUCGCAAGACCUUGCGCCAAUGGAUGAGCCGAAGUCGGAUUAGCUAGNGGUAGGGUAACGGCCUACCAAGGCGACGAUCCGUAGCUGGUCUGAGAGGACGACCAGCCACACUGGGACUGAGACACGGCCCAGACUCC